AACGCACAUUGCGCCCGCUGGUAUUCCGGCGGGCAUGCCUGUUCGAGCGUCAUUAUCCCCCCUCAAACCCCAGUGUUUGGAGUUGGACCAGGUCGGCUGACGAAGCCAACCGGUCUCAAAGGCAAUGACGGCGUCUGGACGGACCCUCGAUGCAACGAGCUUUGUAAAAGAGGCACGCGUCGAGUGUGUAAAGGUCCGCCCGGCCGGUCUCCUUCAGUAUCUUUUGUAAGGUUGACCUCGGAUCAGGUAGGAAUACCCGCUGAACUUAA
rnacentral:misc_RNA from 1 species